GAAAACUCUGUGUGUAUUUAACAUAUGUAUAUAGUGUGUAUGUAUAUGUAUACAUAAUGCUAAUGUGCAUUACCCAUAAUUCAUAAUCUUGUUCAUUAAAUCACAGGAUGUGUGUGUAUAUGCAUAUAUAUGUGCACAUAGAUACAUACACGUAUAAAAACAUAUAUCAUGUUAAUAUGCUUACUUAUGUAUUUACCAUUAUUCUGAAAUAACAUGAUAAGUAACUGUUAAUUAUGGCAUUUAGCUAAUUCACCAUUCUUGGAAAGAUUUUAGGAAUUGCAUUCCUGAAAUUGCUUUCAACAGGAAUUUUAUAAGCAUAUAUAGAAUCUCAACCAGUUACUUUAUUGUUAUACUUGAAAAAAACUUGAAUUGGAAUAAUACAGCUUGAUCAUCUACCUUAUAGUUCAUCAGACUUGGUUCUGGAUCACUUCUUCCUGUUUCCAAAUUCUAAACAUCCUCAGGAAAUGGAGAAUUCAACACCACUAGUUAUCAUAAAAAUGGAUGUUCAGUGGACUGUCGCAAUGAAGUAACAGAAUCCCCAGUUUUCAGCUGGUCACAUGGCAGCCCAGAAUAAAGCCACAUCUCUCAGCCUCCCUUGCAGCUUGGUGUGCCAGUGCCGAAGCUUGGAUGAUGCUGUGGAGGAGUAAGUGUUCUGGGGCAGCUUCUGAGAACUUCCUUUAAGUGUCAGCUGCAUCUCCUUUGGCCCUCCUUUUUCGUCUUCUUCUUGAUCAUGGGAUAUGUGGAUGUAACUGCUGGAGUUCCUGUGACCAUGUUGGACCAUGCAGAUGAGGGCCUUGCUUAGGAGUGGGGAGUGGAGUCUGGCAGGAGCUGGGACCCUGUGUUCACAGGGCUGCGUAUUGCCCUGGACUUUUACAUGAGAGAGCUGAUGAACUGUGAUCUGUCUGUUAUUUUGGGUGUCGGACACUUCCAGCCAAAUGUGAUCCUGAUAGGAACGUCCUACAAAGUGAGCACUUUAAGUAUGGAGGGGACAAUAUACAGAGCAGUGAUGAGAAUGGAGAAUGGCAAUGAGGGAAGGCUUCCUGGAAGAAUCUGCUAUCCCAGCCCAAGCUCUUCUCUUAUCUCUCAUUAUUUCUUCUGUCUUACUGUUUUGUGAACAUGACGCUUUCUCUCUUCCUGACCUUUGCUCAUGCUGUUCCUUCUGCAAUGCUUUCUCUGGUUAUCUUCCUGCUUGUCUAGUUAAUUUUAUAAUUAUAUUAAAUUAUACAGUCCGCAUAAGUACUUAACACGGCUAGUAAAUCUGUGUAAACACCACGUACAUUUUGCUGUUAUGCUCCUUAUCAUGAUUACUAGCCAGGUCAAAUUUUGCCUCUUUUCCGAAACCUCUCUUGAACACUCUUCCUCUUUGGUACUGCAGUAGUACUGCCACUCAGUACCCUAACACCUGACACUUAAAAUGUAUUUCACUCACAUCAGAACCCUGAUAUCUGGCACCUAGUGGUGCUCGGGAAAUGUUUGCUGAAUGCAACUGUGUUAUACCAGUUCUGUUUAGGGGAAGUAACUCUGUGUUCUGUUUAGGGGAAGUAACUCUGGCUAGUUAUUUGUGUAGCUACUACUCAAGAGGAAUGGAGGGACAAGAUCAGUGUGGCCCCCAAGCUUCCGUCUUCUUUGUCUCCUGGCUUCUUUGCCAUUGUGUCACCUCCCCAUCCUCAGGCUGUUAUUCUUAUGGCCACUUCUGUAAAGGAAGGUCAUAGCAAAACAGCUUCAGCCUUGCCUUAGCUUGCCUCCUGAAUCCUCAGCUUUGCCGACCUGAAUUCUAAUCACUGCUUUUUAGGGGUCAGAGGAAUGGAGGCAAACAAACAGAUCAGUAUGGGGUUGGGAGGAGUCAAAGCUGUAUUUGCAAGGUUACUCCAUUUUGACAGCAACAGGACUGGUAUUUGAAGGCAAUUUUUUUUUUUUGAGACGGAGUCUUGCUCUCUUGCCCAGGCUGGAGUGCAGUGGUGCAAUCUUGGCUCACUGCAAGCUCCGCCUCCCAGGUUCAUGCCAUUCUUCUGCCUCAGCCUCCCGAGUAGCUGGGACUACAGGCGUGUGCCACCAGGCCGGCUAAUUUUUGUAUUUUUUUUUUUUUUAGUAGAGACGGGGUUUCACCUUGUUAGUCAGGAUGGUCUUGAUCUCCUGACCUCGUGAUCCGCCCACCUCGGCCUUCCAAAGUGCUGGGAUUACAGGCGUGAGCCACCACGCCCAGCCUGAAGGCAACUUUUAUACAGUAUUAUGCUAUCCUUUGGUUUACAUGUUUCUGCUAGAUGGGAUUGCUAUGCCAACACACCCCAUGUGUGGAACUGUGUCUCAGUUCCCACCCUCAGCUCUACUAAGGUGUCCCCCUUGCACUUUCCUCCCUCCAGUCCCUUGGGCUAUUGGCACUGUCACUCAGGUGUCCAGGCAGCUGACAUGGGUGGUAGAAGCAGGCAUUAUCCCGUUGUCUCAGUUGGGCUUAUACAGGGACUCCUGCUUGGUCUUUGGGAGUUCAGAUGCUAAAAAGUCCCCUGUCAAGAAUAAGGAGGGCCUUGACACUGAAGGGAUGAGGCAGAUUUUGCUCCAGAUGGUCUUUGGAAAAAGGAAUUAGUACAGCCAGAUUGGAAAGUUUUAGUGAUUGAGAAAGAAGUACUGAUUUUGAUGAAUCAUUUCCACAGUCCCUGCCCUAUUUCUUGGUCUUGUCUCUGUUUGGAGGACUGAGUGAAAGUGUCCAUCCAGCUUCCUCCCAUCGGUGCUAACAAACUGCACUGGCUGGAUUUUGGUACCACAUUCCCACGGUGGUAUGUCUUAGGUCUCAGGCCAGCGUCCAAAGAGACCAUAUAUUAUUGUAAUUGACUAUUUUAUUGAGACCCUUAUAAUCAUACCUACUUUACCCAGUAAAGCAAUUCUUGCUUUCUUAUUCACAAGCUUUUUCCGGAUAGUAGGUGAUUACAAUAUGUCCCUCAUCUAAGCCUCCACCUAUGAUUUCCAAACAGUAAAGUUCCUCAGCUGAAUAUUAGUUAUCCCUCUUGUUUUUUUUAAAAGUGACAUUAGGAAAUGGCUAAACAUUUUAUUGCCUUCUUAUUGUCAUCUGCUUUUCCUCCACCCACCUCCUGGGUAGGUACAACAGAGCUUGCAGGGUGGCAGUGGUAGAAUGGCAUGUGGGCCAUAGACUUGUUUCAUUUGGCUUGUAGAGAACUUAACAUUUUGAGGAGGGAUUAUUUCCUAGUUAAUAAGUGGGAGAUUUCAACUCACAUAAAAACCUAGAUUCCCAACUUUUAAAAAGUCAGUUUCCACUUGAUGACAGUCAGCUACUACUGGGCAAUGGUUGCCUCUCUUAACCAAGGCAUUUUCUCACCAGUUCACCAUCACUGGCCCACAUUUGUCUAGCUUCUUCAUUAUCUGCUUAGCCCAGAGGGCAUUUGGUUUGAGACCCUUGACACAGCCCCCUUCUCCAGCUCCCACACUUUUCAGUGUCUGCUUUGCUACUCCUGCUGUCUCAGAUAUUCCCUCCAAUGGGCCUUUUCCUCACCAAUCCCGGCUGUAACAAAUCCUGUACAGCAGCCCUAUGCACUCUUCCUGGGGAAGAGCUCUAUGCUUUAUUUCCCCACAGAUUUAGUUGCAGUUGGGAAGCUGAGUGCUGACCUCCAGGUAAAUAUUGGAGAUCUAUGGGCAGAUCCCAGCCUGUUGGCUGGAGGUGCUAGUUCUGGUGCCAUGGACAUAUGGGUCUGACCCUGCAGUCUUUUGCCCUGCUCCUGAACUCCCAGUUUUGAGCUUGAUUGCAGCCUACAAUUAGGGGCAGAGCAGUAUGGGGAGUUGUUUUUAUCCUUUUGGAGAACUGUGGGCUUUCCCCAUAAUAAAUGCUGUAAUAUAAUGAUAACCGCACAGUUGCUUUACAGUUUUUUCGUUAAGUUCCUUCUUAUAAAUCAUUCCUUUACAUGUCUCAAUGACCUGAUGAAGUAGGUGUUAUUAUGGCCCCUGUUUUGCAGAUGAGCCCUAGAGGAGGCUCAGAGCACCUGCCCAAGAUUUCAUGGUCACAGCCCAUCAGGGUCUCAGGCGCCCAUGGUUUUUUAUUUAAAAAAAUUGUUUUAAGCUAUCAUACUGCUCACUGUGUGGCCUCAAUUUUAGGCUUGAAUGUUUCUCCAAAUCUGUAAAUGCCUAUAGACACAACUUAGCACACAGGAGCAUCAGGGUUACUAGUUACAUUCACCCUAUCACUGAAUAGGCCAUCAACAGAACCCAAAGAGAAAAAAAUCCCCAGUACUGUUUAUAUGCCAGUGAAUUUCUCAACCUAAACUCUCUGAAUCCUGAGCUAUAAAUGUUAGAAAUAUAUACAUUUUUAGUAACAAAAAUGGCUUUGGCAUUUCUAAAUAUUCAGAAAUUUGCAACCAUUACCUUCUUUAUUAUAUCUACACACCUUUAUAUUCUUAAUUGUUUAAAAUUCAAAAUUGACAGAUGUUAAAAAAGUUGGUUACAUUUUAACUAAUAAUAAUCAUAUGGGUUUGAUAUGCUGGCUAUGUUUUUUAAAUGUCCAUGGAAAUAAAUAUAUAAGUAC
rnacentral:lncRNA from 1 species